GAGACAGCAGUAGCCGCGGUAAUACGAAGGGUGCAAGCGUUACUCGGAAUUACUGGGCGUAAAGCGUGCGUAGGUGGUGGUUUAAGUCCGUUGUGAAAGCCCUGGGCUCAACCUGGGAAUUGCAGUGGAUACUGGGUCACUAGAGUGUGGUAGAGGAUAGUGGAAUUUCCGGUGUAGCAGUGAAAUGCGUAGAGAUCGGAAGGAACAUCUGUGGCGAAGGCGACUAUCUGGGCCAACACUGACACUGAGGCACGAAAGCGUGGGGAGCAAACAGGAUUAGAUACCCCGGUAGUUCCUGUCUCUUAUAC
rnacentral:rRNA from 1 species